AGUCCCGUGGUGUAUAUAACACAUUAAAAUGCAAGUUUAAGGAAGAGCCCCAUCAGGCUCCGGGGCUU
rnacentral:tRNA from 1 species